rnacentral:rRNA from 1 species
UUAAAUUGAAGAGUUUGAUCAUGGCUCAGAUUGAACGCUGGCGGCAGGCCUAACACAUGCAAGUCGAACGGUAACAGGAAGAAGCUUGCUUCUUUGCUGACGAGUGGCGGACGGGUGAGUAAUGUCUGGGAAACUGCCUGAUGGAGGGGGAUAACUACUGGAAACGGUAGCUAAUACCGCAUAACGUCGCAAGACCAAAGAGGGGGACCUUCGGGCCUCUUGCCAUCGGAUGUGCCCAGAUGGGAUUAGCUAGUAGGUGGGGUAACGGCUCACCUAGGCGACGAUCCCUAGCUGGUCUGAGAGGAUGACCAGCCACACUGGAACUGAGACACGGUCCAGACUCCUACGGGAGGCAGCAGUGGGGAAUAUUGCACAAUGGGCGCAAGCCUGAUGCAGCCAUGCCGCGUGUAUGAAGAAGGCCUUCGGGUUGUAAAGUACUUUCAGCGGGGAGGAAGGGAGUAAAGUUAAUACCUUUGCUCAUUGACGUUACCCGCAGAAGAAGCACCGGCUAACUCCGUGCCAGCAGCCGCGGUAAUACGGAGGGUGCAAGCGUUAAUCGGAAUUACUGGGCGUAAAGCGCACGCAGGCGGUUUGUUAAGUCAGAUGUGAAAUCCCCGGGCUCAACCUGGGAACUGCAUCUGAUACUGGCAAGCUUGAGUCUCGUAGAGGGGGGUAGAAUUCCAGGUGUAGCGGUGAAAUGCGUAGAGAUCUGGAGGAAUACCGGUGGCGAAGGCGGCCCCCUGGACGAAGACUGACGCUCAGGUGCGAAAGCGUGGGGAGCAAACAGGAUUAGAUACCCUGGUAGUCCACGCCGUAAACGAUGUCGACUUGGAGGUUGUGCCCUUGAGGCGUGGCUUCCGGAGCUAACGCGUUAAGUUGACCGCCUGGGGAGUACGGCCGCAAGGUUAAAACUCAAAUGAAUUGACGGGGGCCCGCACAAGCGGUGGAGCAUGUGGUUUAAUUCGAUGCAACGCGAAGAACCUUACCUGGUCUUGACAUCCACAGAACUUUCCAGAGAUGGAUUGGUGCCUUCGGGAACUGUGAGACAGGUGCUGCAUGGCUGUCGUCAGCUCGUGUUGUGAAAUGUUGGGUUAAGUCCCGCAACGAGCGCAACCCUUAUCCUUUGUUGCCAGCGGUCCGGCCGGGAACUCAAAGGAGACUGCCAGUGAUAAACUGGAGGAAGGUGGGGAUGACGUCAAGUCAUCAUGGCCCUUACGACCAGGGCUACACACGUGCUACAAUGGCGCAUACAAAGAGAAGCGACCUCGCGAGAGCAAGCGGACCUCAUAAAGUGCGUCGUAGUCCGGAUUGGAGUCUGCAACUCGACUCCAUGAAGUCGGAAUCGCUAGUAAUCGUGGAUCAGAAUGCCACGGUGAAUACGUUCCCGGGCCUUGUACACACCGCCCGUCACACCAUGGGAGUGGGUUGCAAAAGAAGUAGGUAGCUUAACCUUCGGGAGGGCGCUUACCACUUUGUGAUUCAUGACUGGGGUGAAGUCGUAACAAGGUAACCGUAGGGGAACCUGCGGUUGGAUCACCUCCUUACCUUAAAGAA